CCUCGGGUGGCUGCAGUGGGGAAUAUUGGACAAUGGGCGAAAGCCUGAUCCAGCCAUGCCGCGUGUGUGAAGAAGGCCUUCGGGUUGUAAAGCACUUUCAGUGGGGAAGAAAGCCUUGGGGCUAAUACCCUCGAGGAAGGACAUCACCCACAGAAGAAGCACCGGCUAACUCCGUGCCAGCAGCCGCGGUAAUACGGAGGGUGCGAGCGUUAUUCGGAAUUACUGGGCGUAAAGCGCGCGUAGGCGGUCUGAUAAGCCGGUUGUGAAAGCCCCGGGCUCAACCUGGGAACGGCAUCCGGAACUGUCAGGCUAGAGUGCAGGAGAGGAAGGUAGAAUUCCCGGUGUAGCGGUGAAAUGCGUAGAGAUCGGGAGGAAUACCAGUGGCGAAGGCGGCCUUCUGGACUGACACUGACGCUGAGGUGCGAAAGCGUGGGUAGCAAACAGGAUUAGAUACCCGUGUAGUC
rnacentral:rRNA from 1 species